rnacentral:rRNA from 1 species
GCUAGCUACAGGCUUAACACAUGCAAGUCGAGGGGCAGCGGGAUUGAAGCUUGCUUCAAUUGCCGGCGACCGGCGCACGGGUGAGUAACGCGUAUCCAACCUUCCGUACACUCAGGGAUAGCCUUUCGAAAGAAAGAUUAAUACCUGAUGGUAUGAUGAGAUUGCAUGAUAGCAUCAUUAAAGCUUUAUCGGUGUACGAUGGGGAUGCGUUCCAUUAGGUAGUAGGCGGGGUAACGGCCCACCUAGCCAACGAUGGAUAGGGGUUCUGAGAGGAAGGUCCCCCACAUUGGAACUGAGACACGGUCCAAACUCCUACGGGAGGCAGCAGUGAGGAAUAUUGGUCAAUGGACGAGAGUCUGAACCAGCCAAGUAGCGUGAAGGAUGAAGGUCCUACGGAUUGUAAACUUCUUUUAUAAGGGAAUAAACCCUCCCACGUGUGGGAGCUUGUAUGUACCUUAUGAAUAAGCAUCGGCUAACUCCGUGCCAGCAGCCGCGGUAAUACGGAGGAUGCGAGCGUUAUCCGGAUUUAUUGGGUUUAAAGGGAGCGCAGACGGGUCGUUAAGUCAGCUGUGAAAGUUUGGGGCUCAACCUUAAAAUUGCAGUUGAUACUGGCGUCCUUGAGUGCGGUUGAGGUGUGCGGAAUUCGUGGUGUAGCGGUGAAAUGCUUAGAUAUCACGAAGAACUCCGAUUGCGAAGGCAGCACACUAAUCCGUAACUGACGUUCAUGCUCGAAAGUGUGGGUAUCAAACAGGAUUAGAUACCCUGGUAGUCCACACGGUAAACGAUGGAUACUCGCUGUUGGCGAUAUACUGUCAGCGGCUUAGCGAAAGCGUUAAGUAUCCCACCUGGGGAGUACGCCGGCAACGGUGAAACUCAAAGGAAUUGACGGAAGGGCG